rnacentral:rRNA from 1 species
AUGAACCCAUUAGCAUUACUCGUGUGGUUGGAUCACCAGGGCGCAUCUUACUUCUCAGGUCGGAUGGAGAUCCAACGGUUCCUUGGCAACACCAGCUUGCCAGGGAAAUCUGAUCUUCAUCCGAGACCCCAACAUGCUGUUUGGAGUUUUGAUAGCGUUGUUGUUACCCGAAGAUCAACAAGCUUCAUUUAUUUUAUAAGCAAAUAUGAGUUUCCUACUGCAUUUCUGUUUUUCAAACAAGACAAGAGAAGAAUUACUAGGAACUGGUCUCUUCUAAAUUUUUCGCGUAAACUAAAGGCACAGUAG